GAUGAACGCUAGCUACAGGCUUAACACAUGCAAGUCGAGGGGUAACGAGAGGAAAGCUUGCUUUCCUUGUCGACGACCGGCGCACGGGUGAGUAACGCGUAUCCAACCUGCCCCCAACUAGGGAAUAACCUUGCGAAAGUAAGACUAAUACCCUAUAAUUUCCUCAGCUGACACUUGACGAGGAAUAAAGAUUUAUCGGUUGUGGAUGGGGAUGCGUCUGAUUAGCUUGUUGGCGGGGUAACGGCCCACCAAGACAACGAUCAGUAGGGGUUCGGAGAGGAAGGUCCCCCAGAUUGGAACUGAGACACGGGCCAAACGCCGACGGGAGGCAGCAGUGAGGAAUAUUGGUCAAUGGGCGGAAACCUGAGCCAGCCAAGUGGCGUGCAGGAUGGCGGCCCUAUGGGUUGUAAACUGCUUUUAUACAGGAAUAAAGUUAGCCACGUGUGGUUAUUUGUAGGUACUGUAUGAAUAAGGACCGGCUAAUUCCGUGCCAGCCGCCGCCGUAA
rnacentral:rRNA from 1 species